GGCGGGGCACGGCUCGGCGGCGGGCCUCGGACAGGCCCAGCAGCCUGGCCGCACCUGCCGCCGGGACAAAGGCAAACCGGGGCCCGGAAACUCCCCUCGCUGCGCUUUCCCGCCCGUCGCGGGGCGGCCUCAAAGCUGUCAACGUUUCCUUUAGCCCCAGAACCAGUGACAGCUUGCCAACACUUGGUGUCACAUGUGAGCCUCCCACAUGUGUUCACUCUCCAUCCCAGCUCUGUGAUUGAACUCUGCUCUUAUUGACUAGGGGGCACUUGGGCAGGCAUGUGUCAUUCCUGGAAUUGACAGUCAUUUCAUUUCUGAAUAGACUAACUGAAUAAGCCCUUAUAAAGCCCUCCCUUCUCUCACUGGCUUCAGUUGGCCUGCAGACAUAAUGAGGAGAUUGGCUUUUCGAGGUGCUGGUUGUGCUCUGGUAAAGCUGAAGAAGUUGGAUUCCAUGGGUUCCAAGAGAAGAAGAGCUACUUCUCCUUCCAGCAGUGUCAGUGGAGACUUUGAUGAUGGGCACCAUUCUGUGCCUACACCAGGCCCAAGCAGGAAAAGGAGAAGACUGUCCAAUCUUCCAACUGUAGAUCCUAUCGCUGUGUGCCAUGAACUCUAUAACACCAUCCGAGACUAUAAGGAUGAGCAGGGCAGACUCCUCUGUGAGCUGUUCAUUAGGGCUCCAAAUCGGAGAAAUCAACCAGACUAUUAUGAAGUGGUUUCUCAGCCCAUUGACUUGAUGAAAAUCCAACAGAAACUUAUGGAAGAAUAUGAUGAUGUUAAUCUGCUGACUGCUGACUUCCAGCUGCUUUUUAACAAUGCAAAGGCCUAUUAUAAGCCAGAUUCCCCUGAAUAUAAAGCUGCUUGUAAGCUCUGGGAUUUGUACCUUCGCACAAGAAAUGAGUUCGUUCAGAAAGGAGAAGCAGACGACGAAGACGAUGAUGAGGAUGGGCAAGACAACCAGGGAACACUGACUGAAGGCUCUCCUCCAGGUUACCUGAAGGAGAUCCUGGAACAGCUUCUUGACGCCAUAGUUGUAGCCACAAAUCCAUCGGGACGGCUCAUCAGUGAACUUUUUCAGAAACUGCCUUCCAAAGUGCAAUAUCCAGACUAUUAUGCAAUAAUUAAGGAACCUAUAGAUCUCAAGACCAUUGCUCAGAGGAUACAGAAUGGGAGUUACAAAAGUAUACAUGCAAUGGCCAAAGAUACAGAUCUCCUAGCAAAAAAUGCCAAAACAUAUAAUGAGCCUGGGUCUCAAGUAUUCAAGUACAGGAGUGACUAACACAGUUCUGUUGUAACUGUGCCACAACACACGACCCUCAUCUGUGGGAAAGGACAGAGAAUGGUCCCUGGGGAACAAAGAGAGUACUACAGGAUCCAUCGAAAGAUACCAGUUCAUCAAUGGGCAGCUGCAUACGCUGGAACAGAUUGCCAAGGUGCUGACUGUGCUACCUACCGAAGCCCUGAUCGGGAAAUGUUUUGAGUCUGGCAGUGGUGUUGUCUGGGAUGCUUAGCUAGCGCCAUCUUGGAUCCUGCUUUGCUUAUGCCAAGCCCUAGUUCCACCUUUCCAUGCCUGGCAUUUCACCCUCCAUCCUGAACAGUGACUGAAGUCCAUGGUGGGGGAAGAAGGCUCUGCUUUGUCUCCUGCCUUUGCAGUCCAGUGUGGAGCUGUACCUGACAUACCACCAGUAUAGCAUGAAUGGAAUGCUCUGCACAAGAAGCUCACUUCUCCUCCCUCUGAAACUUGAGAAGAAUUCAAGAAUAGUCACAAGUGAACAUAAAGCUCCUUCUCCUGUGCUUGGAAGACUGACGUGCAGCUGGAGAGGCAGUACAUGAAGAACGACCCUUUUCUCCUCGGGGGCCCUGGCAUGAGCUGGUAUACAUGACUGACAGCUUCGCCCUGCCACAAUGGGAGAGGACGUCCUGCUCGAGCUAGUAAGCCCACAGAGGGGGCAGCCAAGGAGAGGGGACACAGCUGGAGGCUGGGGACACUGCAAAUGACAGGUGUCAUCAAGAAGGGUAGGUGGGGGUAGGCCUGAGUAAAUUUGGGUCCAUCUCAGCUUCUGGGGACCCCAUUCACUGGCGCACAUCUUUGGCUACUGAUGUUGGAAACCCUGGAUCCCUAGGCCUGGAACAUGCAAGAGGAGAUGCUCUAUACCCUUCAUGUCCUAGACCAUCUCUGGCAGAGAGGCGCACACUUGUUCCAGGCGGCUCCUCUAGAAACUGCGGCAGACUACCUAACCAGUGUCUACUGCUACUUUUGGGUACCGCCCCGCCCAUACCACCUUGUUUGGAUUAUCUUUUGAUUUCUAUGUGGACCUGCUUUAUCUUUGGGAACUUACCCUAGUACUCAUGCAGUUGGUACUGGUUAUAAUGACUUUGUUCCCAAUGAAGGAGAUGCCAUUGUUCAGACUGACUUGAAGAAUAACAUCCCUAAGGCACAGAAAAGAGAUUGGAUGAUGGGAAGAGUCCUGUUCCCAUUCAGUUUGCUCAAACUGUUUGCACACAUCAACCACCAGUGUAAUGAUGCUGAAAUCCUAGCACAGGGACUCCCUGAGAGUGGACAGGUAGGCAGAGAAACUACCCCCCCCCCCAAAGCAUAAAGCGUCAACCUCUGCAGUGAUGGUGACAGUUGCAUACCAGGCUGCCAUAACAGGCCUGCCUGUCAUAUGGUCCUAGUGGCCAGCAGCUAAAGAACCAGGAAGGUGCUCAAAUGCAGGUUUGAACCCUCGAACCCAUUGUCUUCUGCAUCCCGUCCUCAGCAGAGCCUGGGCACUAUGUAUUCCUGAAUACCACCAGGGUCACUACCAGGGGCAUAUAGAAAGGAAAUGGAACCCUCAGGUGGAAGACGGGUGCUCUAUAGCAGAGGGGACACCCCAGAUUUUCCACGAGCUGGCAGACAAACCAUAAGCUCCCCAUUAAGGCAUCCAGGCAAAGGCACUUCCUCACUCUGAUAAACACUGACCAUUGGACUCUAAGGCCCCCAGCAAGGAGCACUUACUCUCCAGUAUUUUUAAUUUUUGGUCCAGGACAAGUUAUGCUGUGUUCAUUCACACCACUGGGACUCUCAUCUAAAAGAAAAUGACACAAGAUUAUCAAUAUGGAUGUCCUUUUUCCACUGUCAGCCCUGUCUGAGAACUGACCCUGGUUGAGGACUGCCUUCUGCCCCCUGCCUCUUGUUUUUGUUAGAGGACACCUGCCCAGCACUGAACAGCUCUCAGCAGGCACCUGUAGGGAGGCCUCUUGCAUCCUAGGCUGCAUUUGUUAGGGGUGAGAGCCAAACUAGAAACACAGGACAUAAAAGUCAGAGUGCAGAGAGCUUUGAGCAGAGAGAGCAGUGGGCAUGUUGCAGGAGAGACAGGUUCUCAGGUGACUCGCCCCUUCUUUUAGAAGGAUGACGUCAUAUUUAAGGAAGCAGAAAUAUUUACACAUGAAAUGAUGCCUUGCCUGGAAUUUAAAGGUGCUCAGUGAUGAUAGUGGUGGGGAACUGGACUCGGUGGGUCGAGACUUACUGAGAGUAGGCCGUGGGUGCUUCAGGACCAGGCACACUUCUGGGUACUUGUGUUUGGUGUGCCAAAUCCACUGAAGUAGAUUCUGGGUGGGUUGCUGCUAUUUGGGCUAGGACUGGUCAGGGUGUGAUCUGAGGGUUGGGGCUCUGUGGGAAGUGAAGGAGGCACCUGGCGAGGUGCCAAGCUUGCCAAGGGAGUGAGUGAGCGAGGAAUUGUGGGUAGAAACUUGGGCUUCCCUGCCAGUGUUAUAGAUCUGUCAGGGGCUAGGAAGGCUCCAGGUCCAACUUGGACCUGAAGGCAUCACAACCUGCUGGUGGGCUGGGUACAGGGGCAGGAUGAAAGUAAUGGUAUCCAAGGUUAGACCCAGGAAGUGGGUGGGCGGAUGCUUGUUUACAGAACAGGAAAAGCCGUGAAAGGGAAGAAAGUUUUUCUUUCCCUGCAUUGGUGGGAGCCUGAGAAGUAUUUUGUGACUGUGACUGAAGACUACUCCCACUCUUUGACAGACAGUAUCGUCCUGGUCCACUGAGCUGGGGCAAAAGCCAAGCGCCAAGCUGGAUACCCACUGGCUUGGCUUCCAACUUCCCAGUCCCUGGUCUCUCUGUGAUGUAAUUCUGGCCUUCCCUGAAAGGGUUUUCUAGGCAUCUUCUAGACUUAGUCUGGGGAUGCUACUCUGUAGACUCUAGGUCCUGGUAUUCAGCUCUCAAGAAGACAGGCUAAAUGGAUGCUGCACGGGUCAGGCCAGCAUCGUGCCAGCCUCUAGAAGCCCUUGGGAACUGAAGGGUUUAUUCUUCCCCCAUGCUUGUAUAAAGGGAGAAUGGCUAGGCCGGCUGCUUAGUCCUUUUUCUUGGCCUAUGCUGCCUUUAGCUCCCCAUACCUGUGGAACAUGGUCAGCAAAGGCAGGAGGCUUGGCUGACUUAGGGAAAUGGUCCCGUGUGGUAAUAGUGCACCCCAGAGGUACCAAGGGACUACUUACCAACGACUCUGGCGUCAUUGAACGUGAAUCUGCAAAUAACUUGCUUUACGUCGUUUGUAUUGUUAAACCCAUGUCCGUUAACAUUUACUUGGUAGGCGUCUGCAAGAACAACAUAGACUCGUUGGGGCAAGGAAGAGCAGGGAGCAGGGUUCUCCCUAGUCUCACCUUUCACAGAAGGCUGCCCUGAAGAUGGAAUUCUCAGGUGCCUUUACGAAAGAGCCCCAGUGUCUGAACCAUCACCCAUGGGACUUGUAGAGGAGGCAAAUCCGCAUCUGCUGUCACUGCACUUCUGUGCUAAUGUAGCCGGAGGGGGCUUGCAUAGCCUUACUGUGAUCCCUGACCCAACAAGUCCAAAGUCCACAAGAGAGUCCCAGCCUGUUCCAAGCUAGACCAGCUCAGCUGAAACCUUCCUGCUCUGAGAUCUCAUGCACUCCUUAAUCAACACGGGCACGGUAGCACAGCUAGGGCCUCCUUUGCACAAGGGAGGGGCUAGUUCCCUACCUGUGGUACCAUUGAGAAUGAAGAAUAUCAUUUUCCCCCUGUGAUCUAUGGUGUGGAAAUACAGACCUCAGGAGCUGGGACUGGGACAGAGAGAACAGGUCCAGUCCCUGGCACUUUAGAGAGUCCCUCCCAGGAGCUGGACGGUCUCAGACACAGGGCCAGAGGCCAGCACCUUCUUCUUCAUUCUCAUCUUCCCCAUCACUCUGGGGAUUAGCAAGGUCUUCUAACAUCAGAGGAGCAGUUCCCUGACGCUGACACCAAUAUAGAAAGGACACAGAGAGGACAGCUGACAGGAGGUUCUGCAGGCAGGACUCCUCCACCCUGUCCUCAUUUGCUUGCACGGCUACCUAGGGGCCUGGGUCUCAUUCAUUCCUGUCCCCCAUGCAUUUCAGUGCCUUAGGGUAGUUGAUUAAGGACUCUCUUUACAAGGUUCCUCCCCAGACUCCAUAGCACACAGGUUGACUUUGGUGCGAUUUCAAGCCAACAGCUAAUUCUGCUUCAUUUGGAGGUACAGGAAGCCUUAGGAUUCCCCGGAAGUGACAGGUCUCCUCCUCCUCCUCCUCCUCUUCCUCCUCCUCCUCCUCUUCUUUCUCCUCCUCCUUUACUUCUAACUAUGAAAAACUGCUUUAAUGAAGUUGCCUCUGAGUCCACAGUAGAUACAAUUUCAAUUUUUGAUUUUGCAAUUAUUUUUAAUUAAUUCCCUUCCCAACUGCAUUUUCCUAUCCCUUCACUCCUGUAGCCCCCACCCAUGCCCCAUCUAUUCCUUCUCCAUUUCUCUUCAGAAAAGAGGAGGCCUCCCGUGAGUAUCAACCAGCCGUGUCAUAUCAAGUUGCAGUAAGACCUGGCUCACCUUCUCCUGCUGUAGCUAGACAAGGCAGUCCAGUCAGGGGAAAGGGAUCCAAAGGCAGGCAGCAGAGUCCCCGACAGUCCCUGCUCCUGCUUUAGGAGUCCCACAUAAAGAUCCAGCUGCCCAACUGUGACAUAUGUGUGGGAUGCCUAGGCUAUGCCCCACACAUGCUCCCUGGUUGGCGGUUCCAUCUCUGUGAGCCGCUAUGGGCCCAGGUUAGUUGAUUCUUUAGGGUUUUUUUUUUUUUGUGGGUGACAGGCCUGGUUAGUACUUGGACAGUUGACAGGUAUUCCACAGUUUAACAGGUCAGUGGCUAAGCUAAUGUCUGCAGGCGCUUGUCGCCUUGCUUCAGCCCCAGCGAGGGAAGAGUGACAGCUCGUGUUUUACCUGGGCUUUGUCUCAGUUGUCUAGACACGGAGGCCUGGGUGAUUUUGCUUUUGUCUUUAACCCAGAAGCACGCCUCCCUUCACCCGACAACAGCACAGGCUUCGGAGUCUUCCACAUGGGGACAUGGGGAGGGGCAGGAGCAGCCUAGGGCCAAUGACUAGGAUGCAAAUAUGCAUCUGCCUGUAAUGUCUACCAGCCUCUAGAUGCUACACCCGCCAACAUAAUGCCCCAACUUAUUUUUGUCCACCGAAGAACACACUGCAGCUCCCACAUACGUGGUGUCACUUUGCCUCACAUAGAUGCUGAGGGGAACACAGCUCAAUGUGAGCACGGCCCUGUCAUCUCAAGCCCGGGGCCUUGGGCUCCCACUGAAAACUAUGGAGGCCAGGACUUAGCUGCCUGAGCCGGCAGGCAGAGGAAGACCUAGCUGUUCCCAGUGGGAGACAGAGGCUCAGGGCUUCCUGUAGAGUGCAAAGUUCUAGCAACUCAGGACAAGUCUGUAUGCAGGUACUGGCAAAGCAAGACAUCCUUCCCUCGGAACCAAACGUGCGUGUCUUUGGCACACUGAUGCAGGGACCUUGUGAUAGAUGGAGGUUGUCCUCGUCAGUUCUGGUCCUGGAGGUCAGGUGUUGGCCAUGACAAUGCUGCGGUGAAGUAAGCAAGGCUAUUUUUGUGGGUAUCUUUUCCAGGCAUGGGUGUUUCCUCUUGUUUCCAGGAGCAACAUAGAUGCCCACUGUGCUCAAGGGUUCAUUUCCACCUGUGGACACGAUCCCCCACUCUUCCUAGCCUUAUAAUGACACCUUUUGUUUUGAGAUAAAUAGGUAGUAACUGUAUGCACAUCCCAAUGUUAUCACAGUGUGUGCCUUCCAUGCGUACAUGAUACUAUACCUAAAGCACAGCCACUCCAUACAUGCUCAUCCUCCCCCCCAGCACCAUCAUAGAUACGCAUACAUCAUAUGCACAUAUUAUAUGUACUGUGUUCCACACACAUACUAACUAUAAUACAUAUUAUAAACUACACGUGUAUGUAUGCUGCCUAAGGCAUAUGUAACCAUAAAAUAUAAACACCCAAACACCAUGUUCCCUUUAGAAAUACUACAUAUUUAAUCACAGAUAUCAUGUAUAACACACACACACAAGUUCUUUACUAUCACAUACGUACUCACAAAUGGACAUAUUCUAUGCCUUACACAAAGCAACACACAUGAUUUAUUCCAUACUCACAGUUGUAAAAAUACCACAGAUAUCACAUAUACUACUCUGAUAUACCAGAUAACAUAAAUGCAUGU